UACGUAGGGGGCAAGCGUUGUCCGGAUUUAUUGGGCGUAAAGAGCGUGUAGGCGGCCGUACAGGUCAGCUGUGAAAACUCGAGGCUCAACCUCGAGACGUCGGUUGAAACCGUACGGCUAGAGUCCGGAAGAGGAGAGUGGAAUUCCCGGUGUAGCGGUGAAAUGCGCAGAUAUCGGGAAGAACACCCGUGGCGAAGGCGGCUCUCUGGGACGGUACUGACACUGAGGAGCGAAAGCGUGGGGAGCGAACAGG
rnacentral:rRNA from 1 species